rnacentral:rRNA from 1 species
GUCCGAUUAGCUAGUUGGUGGGGUAAAGGCCUACCAAGGCGACGAUCGGUAGCUGGUCUGAGAGGACGACCAGCCACACUGGGACUGAGACACGGACCAGACUCCUACGGGAGGCAGCAGUGGGGAAUAUUGGACAAUGGGGGCAACCCUGAUCCAGCAAUGCCGCGUGUGUGAAGAAGCCCUUCGGUUUGUAAAGCACUUUAAAGCGGGAAGAAAGGUCUGAGGGUUAAUAACUUUCAGCAUUGACGUUACCCGCAGAAUAAGCACCGGCUAACUCUGUGCCCAGCAGCCCGCGGUAAUACAGAGGGUGCAAGCGUUAAUCGGAAUUACUGGGCGUAAAGCGCGCGUAGGUGGUUAUGUAAGUUGGAUGUGAAAGCCCCGGGCUUAACCUGGGAAUGGCCAUUCAAAACUGCAGGGCUAGAGUACGGGAGAGGGGGGUAGAAUUCCAGGUGUAGCGGUGAAAUGCGUAGAGAUCUGGAGGAAUACCGAUGGCGAAGGCAGCCCCCUGG